GCUGCGGUGUCCGAGUGGUUAAGGAGAUGGACUUGAAAUCCAUUGGGUUCUACCCGCGCAGGUUCGAAUCCUGUCCGCAGCG